rnacentral:rRNA from 1 species
CCUACGGGAGGCAGCAGUGGGGAAUUUUGGACAAUGGGCGAAAGCCUGAUCCAGCAAUGCCGCGUGUGUGAUGAAGGCCUUCGGGUUGUAAAGCACUUUUGGCGGGAACGAAAAGGACUGUGCCAAUACCACGGUUCGAUGACGGUACCCGCAGAAUAAGCACCGGCUAACUACGUGCCAGCAGCCGCGGUAAUACGUAGGGUGCAAGCGUUAAUCGGAAUUACUGGGCGUAAAGAGUGCGCAGGCGGUUUUGCAAGACCGAUGUGAAAUCCCCGGGCUUAACCUGGGGACUGCAUUGGUGACUGCAAGGCUAGAGUGUGUCAGAGGGAGGUGGAAUUCCGCAUGUAGCAGUGAAAUGCGUAGAUAUGCGGAGGAACACCGAUGGCGAAGGCAGCCUCCUGGGAUAACACUGACGCUCAUGCACGAAAGCGUGGGGAGCAAACAGGAUUAGAUACCCUGGUAGUCCACGCCCUAAACGAUGUCUACUAGUUGUCGGGGAUUAAUUUCCUUGGUAACGCAGCUAACGCGUGAAGUAGACCGCCUGGGGAGUACGGUCGCAAGAUUAAAACUCAAAGGAAUUGACGG